rnacentral:rRNA from 1 species
GAGUUUGAUCCUGGCUCAGAUUGAACGCUGGCGGCAUGCCUUACACAUGCAAGUCGAACGGCAGCACGGGAGCUUGCUCCUGGUGGCGAGUGGCGAACGGGUGAGUAAUGCAUCGGAACGUAUCCUGGAGUGGGGGAUAACGUAGCGAAAGUUACGCUAAUACCGCAUAUUCUGUGAGCAGGAAAGCGGGGGACCUUCGGGCCUCGCGCUCUUGGAGCGGCCGAUGUCGGAUUAGCUAGUUGGUGAGGUAAAGGCUCACCAAGGCGACGAUCCGUAGCAGGUCUGAGAGGAUGAUCUGCCACACUGGAACUGAGACACGGUCCAGACUCCUACGGGAGGCAGCAGUGGGGAAUUUUGGACAAUGGGUGCAACCCUGAUCCAGCCAUGCCGCGUGAGUG